rnacentral:misc_RNA from 1 species
GAUCAUUAAAGAAAUUUAAUAAUUUUGAAAAUGGAUUUUUUUGUUUUGGCAAGAGCAUGAGAGCUUUUACUGGGCAAGAAGACAGGAGAUGGAGAGUCCAGCCGGGCCUGCGCUUAAGUGCGCGGUCUUGCUAGGCUUGUAAGUUUCUUUCUUGCUAUUCCAAACGGUGAGAGAUUUCUGUGCUUUUGUUAUAGGACAAUUAAAACCGUUUCAAUACAACACACUGUGGAGUUUUCAUAUCUUUGCAACUUUUUCUUUGGGCAUUCGAGCAAUCGGGGCCCAGAGGUAACAAACACAAACAAUUUUAUCUAUUCAUUAAAUUUUUGUCAAAAACAAGAAUUUUCGUAACUGGAAAUUUUAAAAUAUUAAAAACUUUCAACAACGGAUCUCUUGGUUCUCGCAUCGAUGAAGAACGCAGCGAAAUGCGAUACGUAAUGUGAAUUGCAGAAUUCCGUGAAUCAUCGAAUCUUUGAACGCACAUUGCGCCCCUUGGUAUUCCAGGGGGCAUGCCUGUUUGAGCGUCAUUUCCUUCUCAAACAUUCUGUUUGGUAGUGAGUGAUACUCUUUGGAGUUAACUUGAAAUUGCUGGCCUUUUCAUUGGAUGUUUUUUUUCCAAAGAGAGGUUUCUCUGCGUGCUUGAGGUAUAAUGCAAGUACGGUCGUUUUAGGUUUUACCAACUGCGGCUAAUCUUUUUUUAUACUGAGCGUAUUGGAACGUUAUCGAUAAGAAGAGAGCGUCUAGGCGAACAAUGUUCUUAAAGUUUGA